CACUUAUUCUUGUUGCGCUGGGAAUGUCUCUGUGUGCCUGUGUCCUCACAGCCAGGGAAGGCAACGUGGCCGAGUGGGAAGGCCACGGAGUAGAAAUCAGGGCACUUAAUUCCAAUCCUGGCUCUUCCAUUGACUCAUGGUGUGGAUUGGGAUGUGCUAUGUGCUUUUAGUUUCCAUAUUUUUCAAAUAAAAGAAUGUUCAAGAUGAUGUGUAAGAUUGAAGAAUUAUUAUAAUGAUAAAAAGAAUCUAUCACAGUGUCUAAUUACCUCUUAAGUGUUUCUUGGUGGAAAUAUUCUCACUGCUCUUCACCCAACUUUAUCUGUUGUUAUCACAAAGAGUUCCUCUAAUAAAAUCUCCACCUUUCCAUUAUGCUACUUCUACACUUUUAAUCUAUUUAUUUAUUUUUAUUUUUUUAAAAUAGUUUUCACCCUUAUGAUAGUCCUUGAUUCUCUUCUUUUCCACAUUCAAUGGGAGUAAUACUUAGCUUCUGUCUGGUUGGGAAAAAAUGAAAAAUAUUCCUAGUAUUCUAAUUUUCAUGUUAAAGCCCUUGUUUUUUUACUUAUUCCUUUGCUAAUAGAAUAAGCAGCUGAAGCAGGAGGUGACAUGCAAAGUAGUUAGAGAGAUGCUUAAGGUAUUCAAAACAAGUCUAACGAAGAAAUGUAGCUAGCUAAAUUCACUACUCAGAUGAACUUUAUUCAUUUUUCCAUACUCUUUAAAUAUUUAAGCCCAUUUAUUCUAUUAAAUGGAUAUUAAAAUCUAUAAAAUAUGAUGUUUAUUACAUUACCAUAAUUUUGUCCUGAAAUAUGUGCAAUAUGUUCUGUGCAUGCUCUUUGUCGUAAUAGAGAACAGCACUCAGAACAUGUGAUAUUUUGAACACACCAUUAGUACCUGCACAGUAGCCCUUAAUUAUUCCUAAUGAGUUCCUAAGGAACAUGCAUGAUUUCGUAUGACUGCCUUCAUAUGAAUCAGGACUCUAAUCAAAUUAAAUGUUGUUUACAAGUUGUAUUACAAAGCUGUAUACAAAUUGUAUUACAAUGUCAAGUACAAAAAUAUCUUCCCUGUUAAUAUUCAGUUGAGAAUGCUUUCCAUACAUUCUUUAAAUCCCCAAGUAUAGCUGAUUUCUUACAUUCACACAUUACUUUUAGGCAAGUUACUCUCUGAGUCUGAGCUCUAUGACUUAUAAAUGCAUAAAAUAAUACUAACCUCACAGUGUUAUAUAGAUUAGUUGAGAUAAUCCUUCUGAACAUGCUUUAUAAACCAAAAUAUUAUAUUAACUUGAACACUAUUAUUUUUAUCUCUUAAAUAAUUGUAAAUAAAUGAUUUUCAUAUAUGAAAUUAUUUCUAUAAGCAUUCUAUAGAAGCACUUAGAAGUAAAAAUAAAAAGAUGUUUUCGAGGCAAACGAGGCGAGUGGGUGCUGCGUUAGGGAAGAAAGGAGCUUCGGCAGUCAGUUGAAACGCGAGGGGUCUGCACAGCCGGGGCACGAAGAAUGGCUUCCUUUGGGUGGAAGAGGAAGAUUGGUGAGAAGGUCUCAAAGGUCACUUCCCAGCAGUUUGAGGCUGAAGCUGCUGAUGAGAAGGAUGCGGCUGAGAAUGAUGAAGGUAACUGGCUUCAUGCCAUUAAACGCAGGAAAGAAGUUCUCCUCGAAGGCUCUGCUGAGAAAAGUAAACAGCUGAAGGAUGAAGGAGCCAGUUUGGCUGAAAAUAAAAGAUACCGUGAAGCAAUUCAGAAGUGGGAUGAAGCAUUACAGUUAACCCCAAAUGAUGCUACCCUGGAUGAGAUGAAAUCACAGGUCCUAAUGUCUCUUCAUGAAAUGGUCCCGGCAGUGCAUGCGGCCGAAAUGGCUGUUCAGCGAAGUGCACAUCCGUGGGAGUCUUGGCAAACUUUGGGGCGUGCUCGGCUUGGAUUGGGAGAGAGAAUCCUGGCUAUUCGAAGUUUUCAAGUGGCUCUUCACAUCCAUCCAAUGAACCCCGAAAUAUGGAAAGAAGACCUCUCUUGGGCAAGAACGCUCCAGGAACAACAGAAAGUAGCACAGAAGAUUUAAAAGAGUGAAGCACCAGCUGAAGUAGCACAUUUUUCACCGAAGUCGAUUCCAGACUAUGACUUUGAAAGUGAUGAGAUUGUCGCUGUUUGUGCUGCUAUUGCUGAAAAACAGAAGACAGUUUCGGCAAAAUGGUUAUUGUGUCUGCUUCUGGGACUGUAGAGACUGUCACCGAGAAGGAAGAUGGUCCCACACCACCAGAUGGCUCUGUUUUUAUCAAAGCCCGAUGAAGCAGUGUGCAUAAUGGAGGAAUUCUUUGAAUCUUUUUGAUUGCCACUUAAAGUUUAGAUAUAGGGACAUUUACUGUGGAGAUAGAGGGCAAAACUCCUGUUUGUAAAAAAUAAGUUUAUCAGAUGAGGCAUACAAAAACUAAAUGGUAGAAUUAUUAAUAGUGUUUGGACUAUGUCUUGAUAAGUUAUGAUUUAUACUUCUUAAGAUUAGAAUUCUGAGUAAACUCGCUUUUGAUUAAUAAACUUAAUGUAAUCUGAAUAUAUAAGUGAGUAUGUUUUAAAGACAACUUGAAAAGUAUAUUCUUAAAUAGUGAAUAACUUGAUGGCUAAUGUUAUUAAAAUGUUGGCUCAACUUUUGUUUUGUGAUAAGGGAAGUGUGUGAUAUCUUUCCUUCUAAGAAAUAUACUGUUGUUACUAUUCAUUCUUUCAUUUUUCUUGCUUCAUUAGAGUAAGUCUGUCAUAAAGCUUGAAUAUUUUUGACGUUUCAUUUUGAUUCAAAGGUGUCAUUUGGUUAUAUGUGAAAUCUUUGAAAGUUUGGCUGAAAAUGCAUGCAGAUGUGUACAUUCUGAACAUUUUCUGAAAUAUCUCUUCUGAUUUGUGUUUCGAUUUUGACUUUAAAGGUAUGACAAUAAUAGUUUUCUCCUUCAGUAUUUGUUAGAUGUGUGGAGUAUGCAGAAUGAUUUUUUUUCAAUUGUUAUAGUAGGUAGAGUAGUCCUUACCACAAGUGAGUCAUUUUUAAAAUGAAUGGCUUUUACAGAUAGGUCAUGAUAAAUUGUAUUGCUGUAUCAUCCCAGUCAAAAGCAGUAUUUUCUUUUCUUUAAUUUUAAAAGCUUAAAAAACCCUGAAGACAGCUUAUGUCUUGCUUGUAACUUUCCAGUUGAUGAUUUGGAAUUACUUUUCUAGAUAACUUUUUUAGAAAUACUUAGUGAAAUGAAAAAUAAUUACAAUUUUAAGUAGCUAAAUGGUAUCUUUCUAAAAAUAAAAAAGUUUAAGGAUGUUAUUAGAUGUGUCAAUGAGUAAGUAACUGAAACACAAAAUACAUAGAAACUGGAAUGUGAUUUGUAGUACAAUUCUGUGUUUAUGAGAAGACUAUGUUAAAUAUUUUGUUGAAAAGCCACAAUCACAUUCACAAAUCAAUAGUGUUGUUGCUAAUUUAUUUUUAUAUCUGUAUAUUGUAGUACAGUUAUAAAGAACUAUGGAAACUGUAAUUUCUGAUACUCAGGAAGAUAUUAUUGGUGGAAAAUUAAUUUUAUCUUUGUUAGAGAUGAAAGUAAGCUACUUUAUGUUAAGGAUCUUACCUAACAUGGUUGGAGCAUAUAAGCAAUGGUCUACAUUUUUAUGAGAAUGAGUUUCCAAAAUUUUGUUUUAUUGCAAUGCGUAUCUUUUUCUUUUCAGAAUUGGAAAAGUCAGCGCUUGCCUUGAAAAGUAUAUUUUUAGCCUAAAUUAUAUCAUCAGAAAUUUAGCUCUGGUUAAAGAGGUCAGUUUCAGAGUGAUCCAGAAAAACAAAUAUUAUUUUGUUUAAUAAGGAAAAUUCUCAAAAGGUAGAUAGUUAUCUAGAGAAGUGAAUACUUAACAUUUGAUAUGUUGUUUUGAGUAAUGGAUGGUUGUUUUUUGUGUAAUUUGUGAAUAAAUAGUUUUUUCUGCAAAAAAAA